rnacentral:rRNA from 1 species
ACUACGGUGCUGAAGUAACAAAUGCCCUGCUUCCAGGAAAAGCCUCUAAGCAUCAGGUAACAUCAAAUCGUACCCCAAACCGACACAGGUGGUCAGGUAGAGAAUACCAAGGCGCUUGAGAGAACUCGGGUGAAGGAACUAGGCAAAAUGGUGCCGUAACUUCGGGAGAAGGCACGCUGGUGUGUAGGUGAAGUCCCUGCGGAUGGAGCUGAGACCAGUCGAAGAUACCAGCUGGCUGCAACUGUUUAUUAAAAACACAGCACUGUGCAAACACGAAAGUGGACGUAUACGGUGUGACGCCUGCCCGGUGCCGGAAGGUUAAUUGAUGGGGUUAUCCGUAAGGAGAAGCUCUUGAUCGAAGCCCCGGUAAACGGCGGCCGUAACUAUAACGGUCCUAAGGUAGCGAAAUUCCUUGUCGGGUAAGUUCCGACCUGCACGAAUGGCGUAAUGAUGGCCAGGCUGUCUCCACCCGAGACUCAGUGAAAUUGAACUCGCUGUGAAGAUGCAGUGUACCCGCGGCAAGACGGAAAGACCCCGUGAACCUUUACUAUAGCUUGACACUGAACAUUGAGCCUUGAUGUGUAGGAUAGGUGGGAGGCUUUGAAGCGUGGACGCCAGUCUGCGUGGAGCCAACCUUGAAAUACCACCCUUUAAUGUUUGAUGUUCUAACGUUGGCCCCUGACCGGGGUUGCGGACAGUGUCUGGUGGGUAGUUUGACUGGGGCGGUCUCCUCCCAAAGCGUAACGGAGGAGCACGAAGGUUAGCUAAUCCUGGUCGGACAUCAGGAGGUUAGUGCAAUGGCAUAAGCUAGCUUGACUGCGAGCGUGACGGCGCGAGCAGGUGCGAAAGCAGGUCAUAGUGAUCCGGUGGUUCUGAAUGGAAGGGCCAUCGCUCAACGGAUAAAAGGUACUCCGGGGAUAACAGGCUGAUACCGCCCAAGAGUUCAUAUCGACGGCGGUGUUUGGCACCUCGAUGUCGGCUCAUCACAUCCUGGGGCUGAAGUAGGUCCCAAGGGUAUGGCUGUUCGCCAUUUAAAGUGGUACGCGAGCUGGGUUUAGAACGUCGUGAGACAGUUCGGUCCCUAUCUGCCGUGGGCGCUGGAGAAUUGAGGGGGGCUGCUCCUAGUACGAGAGGACCGGAGUGGACGCAUCACUGGUGUUCGGGUUGUCAUGCCAAUGGCACUGCCCGGUAGCUAAAUGCGGAAGAGAUAAGUGCUGAAAGCAUCUAAGCACGAAACUUGCCCCGAGAUGAGUUCUCCCUGAGACUUUAAGUCUCCUGAAGGAACGUUAAAGACGAUGACGUUGAUAGGCCGGGUGUGUAAGCGCAGCGAUGCGUUGAGCUAACCGGUACUAAUGAACCGUGAGGCUUAACC